rnacentral:rRNA from 1 species
GACGAACGCUGGCGGCGUGCUUAACACAUGCAAGUCGAACGGAAAGGCCCCCAUCUUGGUGGGGGUGCUCGAGUGGCGAACGGGUGAGUAACACGUGGGUGAUCUGCCCUGUACUUCGGGAUAAGCUUGGGAAACUGGGUCUAAUACCGGAUAGGACCAUGGUUUAGUGUCUCAUGGUGGAAAGAUUAUUGUUUUGGUGCAGGAUGAGCUCGCGGCCUAUCAGCUUGUUGGUGGGGUAAUGGCCUACCAAGGCGUCGACGGGUAGCCGGCCUGAGAGGGUGGACGGCCACAUUGGGACUGAGAUACGGCCCAGACUCCUACGGGAGGCAGCAGUGGGGAAUAUUGCACAAUGGGCGCAAGCCUGAUGCAGCGACGCCGCGUGGGGGAUGACGGCCUUCGGGUGGUAAACUCCUUUCGGUAGGGACGAAGCCACGCUUUUGGGGUGUGGUGACGGUACCUUUGUGAAGAAGCACCGGCUAACUACGUG